rnacentral:rRNA from 1 species
GACGAACGCUGGCGGCGUGCUUAACACAUGCAAGUCGAACGGUGAACGCGGGUGCUUGCUCCCUCUUGCUCAGUCUCGAACGGCUGAGUAACACGUGACCCAUCUGCCCCGAACUCCGGGCUAAGCUUUGGACACGACGUCUUAUACCGGAUACGCCGCGGGAGGGCAUCCUCUCCGCGUUGAAAGAACUGCGGUUCGGGAUGAGCUCGCGGCCUCUCGGCUUGUUGUUGCGGUUAGGUCUCAUCAAGGCGACGCCGGGUAGCCGCCCUGAGCGGGGGACCGGCCAGACGGGGACUGAGACAAGGCCCGGACUCCGAGGGGAGGAAGGAGUGGGGAAUAGUGGACAAUGGGAGCAAGGCUGAGGCAGCAACGCCGCGUGAGGGAUGACGGCCUUCGGGUGGUAGAGCGGAUUUAGCAGGGAAGAAGCGAAAGUGACGGUACCGGCAGAAAAAGCACCGGCUAACUACGUG